rnacentral:pre_miRNA from 17 species
UUGCUAGAUUUAUUCAGACUCUCUUCGGUGACGGGUAUUCUUGGGUGUAUAAUACGGAUUACGUUGUUAUUGCUUAAGAAUACGCGUAGUCGAGGAGAGUACAGUCUUCGGCACUUCAA